rnacentral:rRNA from 1 species
AGCGAACGCUGGCGGCAGGCCUAACACAUGCAAGUCGAACGGACCCUUCGGGGUUAGUGGCGGACGGGUGAGUAACACGUGGGAACGUGCCUUUAGGUUCGGAAUAGCUCCUGGAAACGGGUGGUAAUGCCGAAUGUGCCCUUCGGGGGAAAGAUUUAUCGCCUUUAGAGCGGCCCGCGUCUGAUUAGCUAGUUGGUGAGGUAAAGGCUCACCAAGGCUACGAUCAGUAGCUGGUCUGAGAGGAUGGCCAGCCACAUUGGGACUGAGACACGGCCCAAACUCCUACGGGAGGCAGCAGUGGGGAAUCUUGCGCAAUGGGCGAAAGCCUGACGCAGCCAUGCCGCGUGUAUGAUGAAGGUCUUAGGAUUGUAAAAUACUUUCACCGGUGAAGAUAAUGACUGUAGCCGGAGAAGAAGCCCCGGCUAACUUCGUGCCAGCCGCCGCCGUAACAC